GAUGAACGCUGGCGGCGUGCCUAAUACAUGCAAGUCGAGCGAACGGACGAGAAGCUUGCUUCUCUGAUGUUAGCGGCGGACGGGUGAGUAACACGUGGAUAACCUACCUAUAAGACUGGGAUAACUUCGGGAAACCGGAGCUAAUACCGGAUAAGAUUUUGAACCGCAUGGUUCAAAAGUGAAAGACGGUCUUGCUGUCACUUAUAGAUGGAUCCGCGCUGCAUUAGCUAGUUGGUAAGGUAACGGCUUACCAAGGCAACGAUGCAUAGCCGACCUGAGAGGGUGAUCGGCCACACUGGAACUGAGACACGGUCCAGACUCCUACGGGAGGCAGCAGUAGGGAAUCUUCCGCAAUGGGCGAAAGCCUGACGGAGCAACGCCGCGUGAGUGAUGAAGGUCUUCGGAUCGUAAAACUCUGUUAUUAGGGAAGAACAUAUGUGUAAGUAACUGUGCACAUCUUGACGGUACCUAAUCAGAAAGCCACGGCUAACUACGUG
rnacentral:rRNA from 1 species